AUAUAUAUAUGUAUACACUCACUGAUACAUUUACAAUUUUAUUUUCAGCUGCGGACUUAAAAAAGGUGAUGUUGAAAGGUUGAAUAAAAAUAAUCCUGGGUGGAGCAACUAUGGAGAGUUUGCCAUAUUACAAUAUUUUUCACCUGAAUAAAUCCUUUCGAUUGACCAUCUUAUGGAUAUAUCGUGUUAAUAUCUAGACAUAUAAUUGUUUAAUGGGAAAUACCCAUAUUAUACGUAUACAUAUUAUUUAUGUAUAUACAAUCUUUUUUUUUUCUCUUUUUUCUUUUUUUUCUUUAUUUUUUAUUACGUUAGUGGUACUAAUAAAACAGUAGAGAAACAUUCUAUUGCCUUUUUUGUUCCUAUUACACCUAACUUUUCAUGUGUUUUACCUUUAACACUAAUUUGUGAUUCUCCAAUAUUAAGUAGGUUUAACAAAUUCUUUUUAAUUUCAUGUCGAAUUUGAUUUAUUUUAGGUAAUUCUGUUAUUACAUUAAUGUCAAUAUUAGCAAUAGUAUAAUUUCGUUUAUGUAAUAAAAGUCUUAUAUAUCUUAAAAAAACGCUUGAAUUUUUGUUUUUAUAUCUUUCAUUUUUAUCUGAAAAUAGUGUUCCUAUGUCGUAAAAAUUCAAAGCACCUAAAAUGGAAUCUGCUACUGAAUGAUAUAUUACAUCUCCAUCACUAUGAGAUAAUACUAAAAUAUUAUUAAUUUUUAUUCCUCCUAUGGUUAAUGUUUUAUAAUUUAUAAACUUUUUUUUUUUUUAUUUUUAUUUUUACUUACAAGAGUAUUACAACUAUCAUCGUUGUUUUCUUCAAUUACUUUUAUUCGAUGUAUAUCAUAUCCCUGUCCUAUUCUUAUACCAGUGUAAUUAAAAAGUCUCAAGUUUUUUUUUCUUUUUUUAUGUAUUAUUGAUUGAUGAUUUUUUAUAUUUUUGUUAAUAAAAAAGGAAACAUUGUUUGUGUUGUUUUCUUUUCUUAUAUUUUUAUU